rnacentral:rRNA from 1 species
UACACUCCUACGGGAGGCAGCAGUGGGGAAUUUUGGACAAUGGGCGAAAGCCUGAUCCAGCAAUGCCGCGUGAGUGAAGAAGGCCUUCGGGUUGUAAAGCUCUUUUGUCAGGGAAGAAACGGUGAGAGCUAAUAUCUUUUGCUAAUGACGGUACCUGAAGAAUAAGCACCGGCUAACUACGUGCCAGCAGCCGCGGUAAUACGUAGGGUGCAAGCGUUAAUCGGAAUUACUGGGCGUAAAGCGUGCGCAGGCGGUUUUGUAAGUCUGAUGUGAAAUCCCCGGGCUCAACCUGGGAAUUGCAUUGGAGACUGCAAGGCUAGAAUCUGGCAGAGGGGGGUAGAAUUCCACGUGUAGCAGUGAAAUGCGUAGAUAUGUGGAGGAACACCGAUGGCGAAGGCAGCCCCCUGGGUCAAGAUUGACGCUCAUGCACGAAAGCGUGGGGAGCAAACAGGAUUAGAUACCCUGGUAGUCCCAUG